GCAUUGGUGGUUCAGUGGUAGAAUCCUCGCCUGCCACGCGGGGGGUCCGGGUUCGAUUCCCGGCCAAUGCA
rnacentral:tRNA from 1 species